rnacentral:tRNA from 1 species
GCGUCGUAUUCAGAAAUCGACCGGCUGACUCUUAAUCAGUUGGUCCCGGGUUCGAAUCCUGGUGCGGGCACCA